UACGUAGGGGGCGAGCGUUGCCCGGAAUUAUUGGGCGUAAAGAGCGUGUAGGCGGUUCGGUAAGUCUGCCGUGAAAACCUGGGGCUCAACCCCGGGCGUGCGGUGGAUACUGCCGGGCUAGAGGGUGGUAGAGGCGAGUGGAAUUCCCGGUGUAGCGGUGAAAUGCGUAGAGAUCGGGAAGAACAUCGGUGGCGAAAGCGCUCUGCUGGACUGCAACUGACACUCAGGGACGAAAGCUAGGGGAGCGAAUGGG
rnacentral:rRNA from 1 species